UUGAACGCUGGCGGCAGGCCUAACACAUGCAAGUCGAGCGGUAGCACAGAGAGCUUGCUCUCGGGUGACGAGCGGCGGACGGGUGAGUAAUGUCUGGGAAACUGCCUGAUGGAGGGGGAUAACUACUGGAAACGGUAGCUAAUACCGCAUAACGUCGCAAGACCAAAGUGGGGGACCUUCGGGCCUCAUGCCAUCAGAUGUGCCCAGAUGGGAUUAGCUGGUAGGUGGGGUAACGGCUCACCUAGGCGACGAUCCCUAGCUGGUCUGAGAGGAUGACCAGCCACACUGGAACUGAGACACGGUCCAGACUCCUACGGGAGGCAGCAGUGGGGAAUAUUGCACAAUGGGCGCAAGCCUGAUGCAGCCAUGCCGCGUGUGUGAAGAAGGCCUUCGGGUUGUAAAGCACUUUCAGCGGGGAGGAAGGCGGUGAGGUUAAUAACCUCACCGAUUGACGUUACCCGCAGAAGAAGCACCGGCUAACUCCGUGCCAGCAGCCGCGGUAAUACGGAGGGUGCAAGCGUUAAUCGGAAUUACUGGGCGUAAAGCGCACGCAGGCGGUCUGUCAAGUCGGAUGUGAAAUCCCCGGGCUCAACCUGGGAACUGCAUUCGAAACUGGCAGGCUAGAGUCUUGUAGAGGGGGGUAGAAUUCCAGGUGUAGCGGUGAAAUGCGUAGAGAUCUGGAGGAAUACCGGUGGCGAAGGCGGCCCCCUGGACAAAGACUGACGCUCAGGUGCGAAAGCGUGGGGAGCAAACAGGAUUAGAUACCCUGGUAGUCCACGCUGUAAACGAUGUCGAUUUGGAGGUUGUGCCCUUGAGGCGUGGCUUCCGGAGCUAACGCGUUAAAUCGACCGCCUGGGGAGUACGGCCGCAAGGUUAAAACUCAAAUGAAUUGACGGGGGCCCGCACAAGCGGUGGAGCAUGUGGUUUAAUUCGAUGCAACGCGAAGAACCUUACCUGGUCUUGACAUCCACAGAACUUUCCAGAGAUGGAUUGGUGCCUUCGGGAACUGUGAGACAGGUGCUGCAUGGCUGUCGUCAGCUCGUGUUGUGAAAUGUUGGGUUAAGUCCCGCAACGAGCGCAACCCUUAUCCUUUGUUGCCAGCGGUCCGGCCGGGAACUCAAAGGAGACUGCCAGUGAUAAACUGGAGGAAGGUGGGGAUGACGUCAAGUCAUCAUGGCCCUUACGACCAGGGCUACACACGUGCUACAAUGGCAUAUACAAAGAGAAGCGACCUCGCGAGAGCAAGCGGACCUCAUAAAGUAUGUCGUAGUCCGGAUUGGAGUCUGCAACUCGACUCCAUGAAGUCGGAAUCGCUAGUAAUCGUAGAUCAGAAUGCUACGGUGAAUACGUUCCCGGGCCUUGUACACACCGCCCGUCACACCAUGGGAGUGGGUUGCAAAAGAAGUAGGUAGCUUAACCUUCGGGAGGGCGCUUACCACUUUGUGAUUCAUGACUGGGGUG
rnacentral:rRNA from 1 species